rnacentral:rRNA from 1 species
UACGUAGGGUGCGAGCGUUGUCCGGAAUUAUUGGGCGUAAAGGGCUCGUAGGCGGUUUGUCGCGUCGGGGAGUGAAAACCAUGAGCUUAACUCAUGGCUUGCUUUCGAUACGGGCAGACUAGAGGCAUGCAGGGGAGAACGGAAUUCCUGGUGUAGCGGUGAAAUGCGCAGAUAUCAGGAGGAACACCGGUGGCGAAGGCGGUUCUCUGGGCAUGUCCUGACGCUGAGGAGCGAAAGCGUGGGGAGCAAACAGG